rnacentral:pre_miRNA from 11 species
UUCACAGUGGUCUCUGGCUUGCUUGGUACAGUUCCGGAAUAGUUCAGCCUAACUAGUCCCGGGAUGUACCAAACAAGUCUGAGAUACCAGUGACU